rnacentral:rRNA from 1 species
UCCUUUUUAAACUUUUACGCAAAAAAGGAAUUUUAAUUCAACAUCGAGGUCAUAACCUCACUUGUCAAUUAGAUCUUUUAAAGUGAAUUAAGCUGUUAUCCCUAAAGUAACUUAUUCCUUUUUUAGAAUUCCUAGAUAUUAAAACAAGUCUGUUUUUUCUUUUAAGAAAAGAUUUUUCUCUUACCGCCCCAGUCAAAUACUUUUCUCUUUUAUUAUCAGAAAAAAAUAUAAAGUUUUAUAGGGUCUUCUUGUCAAAAAGAAGUAUUUUAGCCUUCUUACUAAAAAGUAAAAUUCAUUUUUUUAGAUAAAAAAAAAUUCUCCCGGUUUACUCUUUCAUUCCAGUCUCAAAUUAAAAGA